rnacentral:lncRNA from 1 species
UUUUUUUUUUUUUUUUUUUUUUUAAUUAGAUGCAUAUAUAAUUCAAUGAAUCACAUAUUUACUUUGAUGCAUAUGCAAAUAAUAGUUUCAAUGCAUGUACAUAUGUAAGAUUCAAUUCAUGGCAAAUAUCAAAUUCACAUAAUUGUAGCAAUUGUGAUUAUGAAGCAUACACAAUUUAUGUAGAAUCUAAAAUACGUUAAACGUAAAGUUGGGUCAUGCAUCAUGGUGAAUGUUCAUGCUAUCAGGGCUUGCAAAAUAUCGAGUUAAAAACCGUUGUUUGGAAAGAACCUGAUUGCGUGAUGAUAUGGAUGAACUGGUUUGAUGCAGAAAAAAUCUCCAACGUCAGAUUCCUAAGCGCAGCGGUAGGAGCGUGCUGAUAACGUGUUGUGGUCUAUUUUAUCUGACAGAGGGACUAGGGCCGGCGGCAGAGAGAGAGAGGAGAGAGAUGUGUGUUUGUAGAAUUGUAGGGGAAUGUGUGUGUUGUUAUCCCUCCUACAUUGUGCCUUUAUUUAUAGUAGUAAAGGAAGAGAAGAUAUUCCUUCUCCUCCAAGUAAUACAAGUUGUAAUAGGAAAGGAUAACUAGAAUCAAAUCUUAUCUAGGAUUUACACAAUCAUACUUAAACUAUGAAUGUUUACAACAUAUAUUUAUAUUUAUGACUAAAUUUUUUUUCAUAUAUUUUUAGUUUUAGUUUGUACCCAUUUUUAAUUUGUAAUUCUUUUUUAACUUGUAGCAAUUUUAUUUUCACUUUUAAUUUGUACCCAUAUUUUUUAAAGUUUAUUUGUAUUUUUACCCAUAUAUAUUGUUUUUAUUUGUACUUUUUAUUUUGCUAAAUGUACCCAUUCAUGUAAAACUUUUUAAUCUUAAAAUGUACUCAUUCUUAAAUAUACCAAUUUGUUAUAUGUAAAAUUUACCCUCUUUUUUUUAUAUAUAAAAUCUAUUCAAUUUUUUUCUAAUCCAUUUUUAAACGUAUAUGGGUACAUUCUUGUUUCUUUGAUUUUAAAAUGUAUCCAUAUCAAGUUUAAUUGAAGAAAUUUACUAAUGUUAUUAAGCCUAAUAUCUUUCUUUUUUUUUUCUUUUCUUUUUUUUUUUUUUGUGAUUUAGAAGAAUGUACCCAUGUUUUGAUACAAUAAAUUUUUUGGUUAAUUUUGAUGAAUGUACCCAUGUUUAUACACACACACAAUAGUAUAUUUAUAUUUUAAUAUUUUUAAUCCCACAAAUUAUGGUUUUUUAAAUUUAAAAUCUAAUUUAUAUAAACAACUAAAAUUUCUAAUUUUUAAUUUAAAAAAAUAUAGUAACGUACAUAGAAAUAAAUUAUCACAUUAAUUUCAGGGACCUCGAUCAAAAAUUAAAAACCAACAAGAUUUUAAUCAAAGAAUAUUCAUAACUAAGGACCGCAUCCAAAGUUUCCCUAAAAAUAAUCUCCCAAAAAUGUGUGACAAAUAGGUAGGGAUUAUUAGAGGGUGUAUAAAAUGAUGGUCCUUAAACACAAACAUAGAGUUCAGUCCCGUCUAGGAUUUCGAAGAGCUAAAAGUGAUUUUUGAUUACUAAAAGGUCACUUCUAACUACAUUUGGCAUAACAAGCACUUGGAUUUUUUUUUUACAAAAAGUUUCAACUCAUUUGAAAUAAAAACACUUCUAGCAUAAGCUUUUUUUUUUUUUUUUUUUUUUUUUUUGCUUGCAUCAAAUGCAUUCAUUAUGACUUUGCAGUUGACUAGAGUCAUAUAUGAACUUUAACUUGUAUAAUCUUUUGGAUAGAAAUUGAGUUUAAAUUUAAAAUAGAAAGUUGCAACAUUUGAUGUGCAUUGAAGGAGGAGAGAUUUUUCUAAGUUACUUGAACAUGAUCAGUUCACCCGUGUCAUAAUAUACUUAAGGAGAAGGCUUUUACUUUUUCAAGUGUCCAUCUAAUUGUAUAAGACACAUGGUGUACCAAGUACACUAAAAAAUCUCUCCUACUAUGACAUCCUGUUUAUACCUAAUUUUGCAUUAUCAACAUGUGUAAUUGACGUCGUUGGAUGAAUUAAUAUUUUUCUAGACUUACUACUCAUCUCAAUUAUCGUAGUAAUUAUUGUAGAGAAAUAUAUGAGUUUGGAUGCAAGGAUAAAACUGAGAGGGCAGUGGAUUGAUACGUCGGAGGCAGCCAACAAAGGUGGUAGUCUGAUUAGACAAGGCAGGAAUUGUGGAAUCGGUUUGGCUGAUUUUUCUUAAGGAGUCCAUAUUUGUAAAGUUUUAGUUGCUGUUGUUAUUUAACACCGAUGAACAAGAUGCCACUUUUGUCCCAAGCUUCUUCGCUUACUACAACCCAAAGAGAAAUUAUCGCCAAUGACUUUGCAGUAAUAUCAAAUUUUCUAAACUUUCUCUAUCACUGCCUAUUCUUUACUACAAUCCAAACCAAACGAUCCAAUCCGGACCUUGGCAACUCCUAAUGGAAUAAUGCUCUGGAGAGAGACUGAGUUAAAUUUAAAAUAAAAAGUUACAAUUCUUCAUGUGCAUUUGAUGAGGAGAGAUUUUUCCAAGUUACCGGUACACAGGCAAUACAGCUGUGUCAUAAUAUAUGUGAAGCGAAUGUUUUUUUUUUUUUAAUACUUGUAUUAUGACACGUGGUCCGGUGACAUCCAAAAUUCUCUCAUAACAUGCCAUUCAAAUUAAAAGCCUUAUGAACAUGCAGAGAGUUCCCGUAUACUCGAAAAUUGGAAGAGUCGAAGUUUAAAUGAACCAGCAAACGCAGAGUGCAAUGCAAUCAAUAUUAAUCUGGCCGUUCCGGGUGCGUGUAUUAAUCUUUUGCUCGACUCUUGAAAUUCCUGAAUUCAUUAGUAAAUCAAAAUAAUACACUAUAUAACAAUCUGUAUGUUGCAGAUUCAACUUAUAUACAUAUAGAGUAAGGAGGGAAAUGAGAAAACUGUGGCAGGUUUGGCUGGAACUGUUGCAAUUUUAGCUCUCGCUGCGUACGGUCUAUAUGGAGUGUUUGGAUUGGGUUCCAGCCCAAGGAAGACGAUGAAGGCUCCCGAAAGAGAGUACCGAAUCUUCAGGGGUGAUUUCGAGGCUGACCCUUCUGCUUACUUCAGGGACCUGCGCAAGUAGCAAGUUGAAAAUUGGAACUGAAAGAGUACCUUAAAUAUGAAUACACAGUUGUUGGAGUUUUGGAGAGGUGGAGAGUUUUGCUUUUGUUUUGUUUAUGUUGUAUUUUCCCCUAUGAUCUAUGUUGAAUGUUAAACCUUGGAGUUGGGGUUGAUUAACAUUCUACGGUGAUACAAGGCCGCCAUACCUGCAAUCAGUGAGUGAGCGAGUGAAUUCCCGAAGCACCAACAUGAGUAAUUUAUUGCCCAAAAAAAGGCAACGAAAAACAUAUCAGAAAUGCUGCUAAUGUUGCCUUUAUUACCUUAACCUCGAAGGCAGAAGUCAUCAGAAGGUAAUACGCAACUGAAACAAGAAAAACCAAACUCAUCGCCUUCUCUUGUUGCCUUUGCCCUUUCCUAAUUGCCCAGACUUCAUAGCGUGUUCUUGCUCUUGUAGGAAAAGUCGUACUUUUCCAUAUUUCUCAGCUUUCUCUUCUUCCAUCAGCGCCUUAUCCCUUGCCUUCAUCUCGUAAAGGAAAGAAUUAUCCUUACGCAGUUCACGAAUAGCCUCUUUAGCUUCUUGCUUCAAAAGUUUCUUCAUCUUUCUUAGCUCGGCUCAUUCCCGGUCUGGAUCAUAGUCUCUGCCCUUAACAAAGCUGCACCAACAAAAUAUCAUUCAGUGGUUAAUCCAGCAAUACGUACAAGCGCUACCCAACAUAAUAACAUUAAGACAAUUGGGGACGGGUGGUAAAGAUAAAUUACUUCUCCUCAAAUUUCGGAUUGAGCAUUUUGAUAGCCACUGGCUUUUGCUUCCGCAACUGAAGUGGUUGCCGCAGAAUGUGAUGUUUAUCUGCUCGUCUUAAUCAGUUCAGCAACAUCUUUCAAUUUGUCUGUUAAUACUUGUGGUAUAUUAUCCUGUUCCGCCACUUCAAGCAACAAUACUGAAAUUGGCAAAAAGAUUUCAGGAAAAGAACUGAAUCCUUCAUAAACAAUGACAAACUCACGUAGAGUUUCAAUCACCGUCACCAGCACACUAGCCCUGAAAAUUAAAAGUUCAACUUUUAAAGACAGAAUACCAUAUGCAAACUUUACAGUAUUGAUAUACAAAAUUAGAAUUACAAAAGCAAUAAUCUGGUGGUGGCAAAAAUCAAGUUGGACCAAUUUUGAGGAUCAUUUAUCGACAGCAAAACUGAAGUCUGCAUAAACCCUAAACAACAUACGUCACGUGGGCACUUCUACAAUGUAUCAUUGAGUACUGUAACAAUUUCCUAACCUGAAAUCGUCAGAUCUGAAAAAAGAGGAGUCUUCCGGUAGGUCCAUUAUUGUGAGAAAAUUCAGAGGAUUGACCUGACCUACGGAUUCAUUUAUACAUAAGAGAGGCCUGAUUGCUUUUAAUUCCAUAAGAUGACAAAACUGCAAGAAAACAAAACGAGGAUUGUUACUUCGUCACAUAACUGUAAACUAAUUUCCUUCCAAGGACAAUGAAACCAUAAGGUGCCGCCUAAUGUAUAAAAAAUUACGUUACAAGGCAGUCAUACAUGAGAAUUUUGACUUGGCAUUGGCUUUCUGUCUUUAGCUGCCAUCAACAAUGUUGUGAGAAACAUGACUGCUUCAGGACAGAACUUCCGAGAUUGUUUGGUUAUCUACAGAAUGCAUUAAUUUUAAAAGAAAGAAAUGGGAAUUGAAACUGUUGGACAGAACAGUAAAUCGACCAAUUCAUAUAACUACAAAAUACAUACAGAGAGAAGCAUGGAGCACAAGAAAGAACCAACUGCAGUAUCACGACCAGACAUGAUAGGACUACGUGCCAGAUAUUCACACAUCAACAGUGUUGCUGGAGUCAUGACCACAUGACGAAAAUCAGAGCAUGGAAAUAUCAGGGACCAAAGCCUCAGAAGAAAUAUUGUCUUUGAAGAAGGCCAAUAACUCUGUUCUGUAAAAACAAAACAAUGACAAGAAGUCAGCACCUCAGCAAGAGGAAGCUUGUAACUAUGCUUCCGAACAAACAAAAAGCUAUAGAUUCCAUUAGGGAUUACCUGGGUUCUUAACGGUCUCACUAAAUUCCGUCCGCGCCCGUAAAAUUCUCUCACGAGCACAAAUUGCAGCGAAGUAUGGAGUCUCCAUACUCAUCUCAAUCAAUGGCUUAACCAGAAAAUUUAACAACUCCAUAUUCAACGGCUUUCUAUUUGCUAAUAUGGCAAAAUACUGCAGGAGUACACCAUAAAAUACCUGGAAAAAUGGCAGAAACACUCAUGAGUACUUAGCAAAUAUAAUGAAAACCGAAGAUGUAUAUCUUCACUGACUUUUUGCUUGGAUCAAGUCAAAUAUUAAACGACAGAACAGAAUUGUUCCACAUUUGACACAUAAUUUCAAUACUCGUUUCCAAAAACAUAGAAGCAACAAACAGUUUCAUACUUGCAUUUUCUUCCUGUUUUCUGCUGCAAGCUUGAUUGCAUUGCUUUUCCGGAUUCGAUUGAUAAUCAAGACAAUGUCAGCAUUAGAGAUUAUCCACCAAUGCACCAAACUCUUCAAAGCUUUUUGGAGCUUCGAUUAGGUACGGGAGGUCUGACUGAGUAGAAGGUCGUUUACCGUCCUGAGAUAUUUUCUUGGCAUCUAAAGAAUCGCCCUCUUUUUUACUGGCUUCAGAAGCAUCAAUUUUUUUCAUUUUUUUCAGCUUUCUUGGUUCCACCUCUUCUUCAUCAGCAUCAUCAUCCUCUUCAUGUGCUUCAGACCCAUCUUCUUUUUCUUCCUCCUCAUCCAAAUCCGUUCCAAGAUUAUCAUCAUCACUUUGUUCCCAGUCCUUCAUAAAUAGAUUCUUUUCACCCAGGUUAAUAUCUUUAUCAGAUCCUUCACUGUCAUCUUCAGGACUUUCUGAAUCCUCAGAAGCAUCGCCUUCUUCACUCUCAGAAUCGCUAGCAUCUUUUCUUUCUAGAAUCUCAUCAACCCAACCCUUUUUAAUCCGCGGCUCUUCAUCAAGAGAGAAGGAAUCGCCAAGAUCAUCUCCAGAUAUGGGUCUUGGCUUAUUAUGGUUAGAUGGUGUCUCAGCAUCUUCAUUGUCAUCGUCACUAUUGAUAUCAGUGGCAAGCAUCCUCUUCUGUCUCUCUUCCUGAAUUGUGAAACAAACUCGAAUGAGCAUUCAAUUCAUACUAAAAAAGUACAAAUGAGAUGCAACAUCCAAUUUCUCAAAGUUCUUUGUUCCACUAAAUAAAGGGCAUGUUUACUUAUCAAAAAUGGACAUCCAAGGUAUGGGUAUCAUUCCCAACAUAUCCUGCGUAUACUAACACACAAGGAAUGAAAAAAAAAUACGUCAACCAUGUAUGAAAUCAUCAAAGCGGGUAACCAGUAUCAUUCCCAUUCAUGACUUCUUCCUAUUAAACAUGCCCAAAAGGAAAUGGAAAGCCUAACAUUCAAAAAGUUGAAUAUAAUGCAUUUUCUUGUUACAUCCUCAAAACAUCAUGCCACUUGCAUCACACCAGAAUCAAAUUAAACAAAUUGUAUUAGAGAUGACACCAGUUACCAUAUAUAUAUUCAUAACAAACAAAGGAUAUAUCUUAGUGGCCAAAAGCAUAUAAACUGCACUUGCCAACAUUCUACUGCUAUUUACUAAUAAGGACUGCUAAUAUUGCAAAUAACUUCAAAAAUUUGCACUAUUCCUUGAUUAUGAGGAAGGAACUACAAUCAUGUAUAUACCAAUUUGGACAUAUAUUGGCACCAGAACAUUGAACUUGUUAGCAACAAUAAAAAUCCCCAACAUAAAGCAAAGACAAGUGCAUUGGCACAUCAAAUUAGCAUGCACGUGACAUGCGUGAAUGAAAAAACACUCAUAAAUUGUAACAAAAUAAGAUACCUCCAAAUGCUCAAGCUGCUCUCUCUCCUCUUGUGCUAUCUCUUCAGGUGUCUUUGUCCUGUCAGAGGGUUGAGCACGGCUUACCAUGACUAAGUUGCCAAAAGUUUUGAAAUAAGAACGGGAUUUUUCCUGUGAAAUUGUAAAUAUCAAGGAAUAAAAAAAACUCUUAUACUAAAGAAAAAAAAUUACAACCGUAACAAGUUAGAAACCAAUAAAGGACCUUCAUGAAAAUACCUGUUCAGAAAGCUCAUCCUUCUUCGAAUGCUCAUUUGGAAUGUUCUUGUCUGGUUCAGUAAUUUGUAACAGUUUAGAGGGCACAAUGGAUGUGAAGGAUUUGUCCAAUUCUUGCCUAAAAUCUUCAAGUUCUUCCUUAUCUUUUGCUCUUUCAGCCUAGAAUGGAUCAAAGGAAAAACGAAGGAAAUCGUAAAUAAAGAAGGAAAAAAGUUUCAAGGAACGCAUGUAAUCACUAUCACCAAACAAGUUAAUGCCAUAAAUGAUUAGAAACCCACCCUAUAAUAUUUGUCUUUUGCCAUAACCUCCUUCAUUACUUCCUUCUUGCUUUUAGGUCUCUGUAGUAUGAAAACAAUGAAACCAAUUACGAUCAUUUAUAAGGGGGGAGAGAGAGCAAGAUAAAAGAAUAGAUUAUAGUGGGAGAAACAAGAAACAGAAUUCCUUUAAAACUACAAUGAAUUUCUAAAUUCGAAGGGGAAUUAACUCUUAAAUAUCAUAUAAAGAGGCAAGCAGCAAAGCAAUCAAGAAAUGUCAAUUAAAAUCCUAAUACAAGUACAAUACCUAAAAUCUAAUAAAAACUUAUUUUACUGAUGUGCAUAUCUUAAACAAUCUUGAAUUUGAAUAUCACAGAGCAAAACUCAGAUAGCAGAAGGGCUCACAUUUUCCUCUCCUUCCAUUAGAUCACCAUCCAUUUGAUCUGUCAUGGCUAACCUUUCUACAGAGAACAAAGUAGGCACCAUUACUGCUAUUAGAAUAGUCCUAACAAUCAAUCACCAAAUCAUAGGGAGAUGCACGUGUUUCCAACAACAACAUAAAAUCACUAAAAAAAAAUUUGGUUAGCAUCAAAGAUCUGCUAUCGUUUUGUGGGUUUUUACUUUCCUUUACUCCAUAUGAGCAAGAGUUCCUUCGGAUACUUGUGAUAAAGCCUAGUCCAGAAAAUGAUAAUAAGUAGAAGCCAGAAUUGUCCAACUCAACCAUCAAGUCAACCACAUGUACUUCUAUCCAAACAUUACAGUUAAAAACCAUGGACAUGUCAAUAACCAAAUUUCAAAUGGUAAAUGGUAACUGAACCCUGAAUGAUGCAUUCAAAAUCUAAGUUGCACAAAUGAAAACUGAAACCCUACUGGAUAAACAAACAACACAGAUAGAAGUAUCUCUACACAUACUCUUAGUUUGAGUGGUUUCUGUGCCAUCGUCGUCAUCAUCAGGCAGCACAUCAUCCUCAAAAUCAUCCCUUUCAGAUAAUGCACCAAGACUUUGAAAUUCAAAGUCGUCUUCUUCUCCAUCUGAUAAGUUAUAUUUGCCUUUCUUGUUCGUCUUUAACUAUUCAUGAAAAUGAAGAGAAAAAAAGAAAGAAAAUGAGAAACAAAACACAUUAAUAAUAAAUUACCCAUGAUUCCAUAAAUUAAACUGAAUAUAGUUCUGAAAUAGAGUUUAUAGUUGCGUGGAAAGCUUGCCAAAAAGAAAGGAAAUUUAGAUAUCAUGUGUUAGAUAUGUACAUUUUAAUGAGAUACGCUUUGUGCGACAAACUACAACUGUUUACUAUUUCCCUAUAUUUUCCUGGUCACCAAACAGAAAACAAAGCUGACCCCAAACAAUGGGUAGAAAUUCAGAAAAUGAGCUUACUUGAUGCUCACGCUGCGCACGCUGAAUGGCCUUAUCGAACUCAUUGAGCUCGUCAUUAUGCUCCCCAAUUCGCUUAUCGACAAAGACCGAAGCUUUAUUGCUCUGCUCGUACUCCCUCAGCAGCGUGUUCUUCCUCUGAGCCACCAAAGCAUAAAUAAAGCAAUAAAAUUACAAAAUUUGAAGUAAAUUCAGAAAGGGAGUGACGCAAUUCAGUACCUUUUCAAUGGCGCGAGAGCGGGAGAGGCCAACUCGGCGCUCUUCGCCUUUGCGCUUUUUGCCGAGAAUGUCGAAUUUCCUCCGGGACCAAAUGGUCUCGAACGGGUUGGGUUUUAGGGGGGCCUGGUGCUUCAUGGCGACAGCGUUCGGGCCUAGCUUAUUCUUUUUCUUCUUCGCCGUCGCCGCCGCCUCAUGGUUGUGAUUGGCGUCAGCUCUGCCGAGUUUUGGUGAUUUGGUCUCGAAGGGGUUGGGUUUUGAAACGGACUUCUGGUGGUGCUUCUCCUUGUGUUUCGCCAUUGGAGAAUGGUGUGAGCAGGGAGGUGAUGCCGGUGGUUUAGGGUUUAAGCAUUCGAGGAAGAAGGCGGGGCUUAGGGUUUUGCGGGUGUUAGGUACUCAAGCCCAAGAGCCCAACCUAAAAUACUAGUCCAUAGGUGGGAGGACCCUUGCACUUAAGUACUACUACACAAUUUCUUAUGUAGCCGAUGUUGGAUCAUAACAUUACACCAUCUUUUGGAAGACCCGACGUCCACGGCGGCACCGGUCGCCAAGUCCCUUAGGAACCCAUACUCCCAAGGAGGCAUCACUCACCAAGUCUCGCAAUGUCGGGAACCUAGGCUCUGAUAUCAAUGUUAGGUACUCAAGCUUAAGAGCUCAACCCAAAAGACUAGUUCAAGUCGUGAGUAAGGGAAUCUGUCCCAAAGAUGCUUUGGUGUGAGGUUAGCUAGGCCUUUGCGAAUAAGGACCCUCUUUGGAUCCUCUUUGUGAGGAUCCCGGAGAUUUUCUAAUCACAUCUGUUCAUCGUACAUCAUACGGUCAGUUUUCAUCAGGUAUUGUUUAUAUUUAAUUUUAAAUAAAAAAUUUACAAUAAUUUCUGAUCGUAUGAUAUACGAUGAAUGAAUUUAAUUUGAGAAUUUCCGGAAUUAUCCGGAGAGAAUUCUCAUUCGGCCUUUUACAUAUAUUGGAGAUAAGACACUCGAUAAAAGGAGUCAAGGGAGGGACCUCAUUGUCUCUCCAAAGAAAUAAUAGACCAUUGACCUGAAUAAUUACAGUCACACUUUUUCCAUUCACAACCACCCUUUUAUUUACAAACAGAUGCAGAAACAAUCAUAAUUUUCAUGCAGUGAGAUUAGAUUAUCAUAUAUAUAUGCGCUUAUCUUGGACUCUUAAUUACUUAAUUAAGCCAAUAGCCAGAAAUCUUUCUGGCGCUUUGUAGUAAUCAAAUACCCUCCAACCUUCCUGCUUUUCCUUCUCACAGCAACUGCCAUGCAACUGGCAUUUUGUAUACAGUACUCCACCACACCGCCGCGACCGCCGCUGAUCCGGUUGCCGGUCCACAUCACCAGCAGACGCCAUGUAGUAUACCUCUUUUUCUGCCCCAGUACAAGCAAUCCCACUUCUUGUUUCUUUGCCUCUUCCAGUAUUUUUGGACCUUUCUCCUUAUUCCCUUCCACCACCACUGCAACCUCAAUUUCUACCUCUGGCCUCUUCAACCGACACAUGUUCCUCAAAGAGUGGACAAGUGCAUAAGCCCUUGGAGAUGGAGCUAUCUCCUUGCUGGUCUCCUCACCUGCAGCUGUAACAAAAUAAGUCAUAAAUCAUAAUUCUUUCAACAUAAGUGUUUCUUACAAAAUAAAUCUCAAAUCGGCCCUAAGUGAUAUAUAUUCAGUUUUUCUAUAACUUCACUCAAGAAAGUUAAAGUAGAGUUACACAAAAGAGAACUGCUAUUGGCUCUUUAAAAUAGUCACGCACUCCUUAUAAUAAAAAUAGAUGUAUAAAUAAACAAACGAAAGACAAGUACAAAAUGACUAUUGUAGAGUAAAAAACAUUAAUUCCCUAUGAAAACCGACAAAAUAAAAUGUACAACCUUGCUUUGAGUUUGCAGAUUUGGUGACAUGAAGCAGCACAAUUUUAUCCUGGCUCUGCACAGUGUGAGAGAGAGCCCAUUGGAUAGCUCCUUUGGCUUCAAGGCUGGAAUCAACCACAAUCAUGAUUUUCCUAGCAAUUACCAACGCAGCUUUUUUAGGCUUUUCAUCACCACCACCACCAGCUGCUUUCACUUUCUCUUCUUCUCCAACAUUCCCAGAAUCCUCAAAUUUUCCAUCACUACUUUUUGUAGCGACAUCUGAAGCAUCUGGCUUGAACUGUAUCGGUGGCGACCGAACCCUAACGGGUGGCCUAAUCCUGUUUAGACAGAAAUUAGGCAAUUUAGUGCCUAUUUUCCCCAUUUCCUGAUAUGAAACUCGAUAGACUUUGAGAUGCCUGUAAUUCUUAUAUAUAAAGUGGAGUACUGAAGCUGAACAAAUUUCUAGAUGUGGUGUGGGGGCCAUGGUGUUAAGUUAUUUCUGCUUUGCAUUUGCUUUAUUCGUUUUCUUUAUUUUUGCCGUCUAAUCAUGUUUGUUUCUUUUAUUUUUGCCCUUUGUGCGGUGCUAUUUCUGGUAACAAGCUUCUCAUGAAGCUGUAGGGCCAUGCAAGGCUAUCUGACAUGUUAGGAUAAUCAAUUUAUUUUUCAAAGCAAAAACAAAAAAUACUUGACAAAAAUAACAAUAUAUUGAUCACAUAUCCAAAUAAACAUCUAUACAUUAACUCAACUAUCGACGGUUUGGUGCCAAAUAACAUAUCAUUAUGAAUUACGUAUUUAUUAAAUAUAUAUAGAUGAUUAAACGAUGCAAUUUUCUGUAGUUAGCCAAAAAUUGUAAAACCUGUUAUUCAUCAUGAUUCAUACAUAUGUGUAUCUAUUGGAAUAGUUUAAAUGGAGUUCCCUAGAGAAUGAACUCUGGGAAUGUAGAGUAUAAAUUAGUAUGAUAAAAUAUGAUAAAGUCAUCAAAAUGAAGAAAGAUGUUAAAUAAAAAAAUAUUUAUUCCUCUUCUCCCAUUUUUUUUUCUUACUAUAUAGCACAUUUCAAUUUUACGAUUUUUUUAACAAAAAAGAAACGUCAAUCCGCAUUUGAGUUUGGAUUGGAAUUUUUAUUUUUGAUUCAAUUCAAUUGAACAGUCAACCAACCUAUUUUUUUUUCUGGUUAUAAGACCAAUAGCUCUAGCGGUUGACUCGCUUCUUUCAAAUUGUUUCUCAUUAUUAAGAAAAGGUAACGGAGAUAAAAUACAAGCUUGUUUUAUAGCAAUAGUAAUUAAUCGUUGUUGUUUUAAGGUCAAUCUAUUCACCCAUCAAGAUAAUAUUUUUCCUUGUUCGCUAAUAAAUCGACUAAUUAAACUCUCUCUCUCUCUCUCUCUCUCUCUCUCUCUCUCUCUCUCUCUCUCUCUCUCUCUCUCUCUCUCUCUCUCUCUCUCUCUCUCUCUCUCUCUCUCUCUACACACACACACAGGGAAAAACCAAAAAAGGUGAAGUUUCCAUAAUAUCCAAAUUGCCUUUUUCCAUUAAGAAUUUUAAAAAAAAAUCACAAAAAAAAAACUUCGGGUGGUCAAAAUAUAUUUAAUAACUAUAAUAAGUAAAAUAAAAAAUAGAUAAAUAAUAUAUAUAUAUAUAUAUAUUAUCAAAUAGAAAAACAAAUGAUAAAAUAAAAAGAGUCAAUUAUCACACAAGUACGUGUAGGCUUGGCAAAUGAGUCGUGUUUGUCGUGUUCGUGUCAUUUUCGUGUCAUACUUGUUGUCUUAACGGAUCGUGUCACGUCAAACCUGAUAUCUUAACGGUUCUUAACAGGUGACUCGCAACCUAAUUCGUUAAAGAGUCAUGAAGUUUUGUGUCGGGUUAAUGGGUCAGGCAAAAAAACUUCAAGCCAAAUGUCUUGGCAAAGGAUAUCUUAAUGGGUCUCUUAACGGAUGACUAGAUAACGACCCAAUUUGUUAUUGGGUUCCUAAUGGAUGACUCAAUAACGACCCGAAUCGUUAGCAUGUGGACCCCAGGGUCGGCCCUGAGAAUUUGGGGGCCCUAGGCGAGCCUUCGAAGUGGGGCCCUAAAAUUAUUUGAUCUUCGGUCCUUUGUAUAUUGAUUUGUAUAAAAAAAAUUUGCUAAUUAGAUAAAAAAGUUCUAUUUUCACAUCAAAUAUCAUUAAAAAUUAAUAUCAAAAGAAGAUAAAUAUACAAACAUUACACGAUUCACGUUUUUAGACACAAAUGUACUAAAUGUUUGCAUUCAAGAGUUUAAAAUUGAGAGUGAAGAAUAAUAAAACCUGAUGAUCACAAGAUAAAUAACAAUAAAACUUGAUUGACGAGUAUAAUAAAUUCAACGCCAAUUGUUUUUCUUGUGUUUUUUUCUUCUAAAAUCAACAUCACACUAACGAAUUGAAUAUUAAAGUAAUCCAUUGAAUAAAAAGUUAUUGAAAAGAAAAAUAUAAAAUUCAAAGUUUUGAUUACCUUAAAGUACAAUCUUUAAGACCAUAUGAUAGUUGGUUUAAACAUUCAAUAGAAAUGGAGAGAAUAGGAAGUUGGUUUAAACAUUCGAUAGAAAUUGAGAGAAUGAGAAGUUGAAAGAAAAAAGAUUGCAAAGAAACUUGAGUUUUAUAACUUUAUAUGCAUUUGGACAUAUGGAUUGGGAGUUUGACAGAUGGAUUAGCAGUAAAUUUGAAAAACAAGAAAAAUUAAGAAAAAACUAGUGACUGAAAGGCAGCUUCGUGUUUCAAACUCAACACCCCAAAGAAAAAUGAAGCCAACAUUUCCACUGCACUAACAAAUGAAUUAUGAUAUUUCUUACUUUUUUUUUUGUAUUUAUAUGUUAAGUGCAGGAUAUAAAAUUUUUUUGGGGGCCCUUCCAAAGUGGGGGCCCUAGGCGAGCGCCUACUUAGGCUACCCUUAGGGCCGGCCCUGGUGGACCCAAAACUUGUUAUUUUCAUGUUAUGUUAACGGAUCGUGUAAGAUAUUGCAAGAUCUACAUAUGCGUGUGGCAAGAGGCUAGCGAGUCAUAUAGUUCUAUACAUGCAUGUGAUUUAUAGUCGGCAGCAAAUAAAUAUGUGCCAACCACAAAGAAAUCCGACUGUAAUUUGUGAAUUUUUUAUGCUAAAGUAUGAAUUGCAGUUGAGCUUUUAUGCUCAAUGAUUUUUAAACCUUUUUUAAUGAGUGAAAAAUUAUUGGAUUUGUGUGUACAUUUUGAUUUCUCUGACAGUGAUAUGAUGAUUUUGGUUGCGUUUGAGCCACGCUAGUUGUUUAUGCAAAUACAGAAUGCGUAACUAAAAGCCCUUCUACAUAUAUAAAGUUAUAAUUUGCUUAUCUGGAUUUUCAAUCUUGCAUUAAUAAUUGCUCUAAGCGGAUGCCAGCACAAUUAGGAAUACAAAAAUGAAAAUUAAACCCCACAAAAGUUAUAUAAAUAAAAUCUCACCUAAUACAGUAGAUUCAUUGAACUGCAAUUCAAGUAAAUCGACUGGUAGGAUGAGAUUAUUAGACGGAAAAUACUUUCAUCCAUUCCAUGCAUGGUGUGCUGCGUGCACCACUUUCUCCAUUAAUUUGUUAUUAGCAUAUCGCAUAAACUUUAUAAUUAGAAUUGUACAAAUUUUUCUUGUGAACGGUUUAUUUUGUUAAAUAUUCUGUAACGAUAUUUAUCUACAAAAAAUCAAUUAAAUCAAUAUUAAUCAGAAGUAUUAGUUAUAGCGAGAUCAUACCCGGUGCAUAAUGAAUGUCGAAUUUAGACAUGAUGAAACAAGUUAAAGGUUGUGCUUGGAAACAAAUUUUGUUUGUUAAAGUGCUAAAUCUUUCGUUAAUUAGGAUGCUAAACUACUUUACACAAGAAAAGGAUGUGCCAACCUCCAUUUAGACUUCCAAUCUUAAAAAAGAGAAACAGUAGAUUUGUGAAAGAAAAAGGGAUUUCUGCAUGUCUUAUCAAAAGAAAGUGGCCAAACAUGAUAUAUAAUGUUGUUGCAGCUAAAGGCAAUUAAGCGAAUAAGGUUGACUUGUUACUUCAUUAAUUGAUUAAAUUUCAGUGAGGAUAACCAAUUACGUAGUAUUAUAAGUUCACUCAUAUCAUACUACAUAACAUUUUGUGAUAACAAUGUCACAAUUACACAAAAGUUACCCGUCAUUAGAGAUUCGGACACUGGAGAAGAUGUCAUCCUACCCUGUGCAUUUGGGCUUUCCUCAGUUGGUGGCAAGUAGCGCAUAUAUUAACAAGCUUCAAAGUAGGGUCGCAAAAGUAGUUGGUGUUCAGCCCCAACUAAAACCAGAAUAAAAGGGAAGGAAACUUGCAAAAGAAGAUUCGGUGUCAGCAAAGAUAGCCCACAAGAAUUAGGCCCCAUGAAAUAUUACCACUUUCGUAUUUUAGUAGGAUUAUUUUCCUUUCAAAUUCUUUUUCUGUAAUUUUCUUCUAUUUGAACGAUUAAGAUUAAAUCACAUUAACAUUUUAAGUUUACUCUUUAUAGAAGAAAAAAAGGAAAAGAAGAAAGUGAGAGAGGAAAGAAACGAAGAGAAGGGCAAAAGAUUUAGAAGAGAGUUUAGUAAAAAAAAGAAAAAAAAAAGAUUUAGAAGAUAGAGAAUUCUCUGUUACUUUUUUUUUGGGUCAAAGUUUUGGAUCUUGACCUUUUAAGUUGUAAUUAAGCAGAAAACCCUACAUUGUUCCAAAAAAAAAAAAAACUACAGAACUAGAGUUAGAAUUAUAAACAAACACGACUUUAGAAAUUCAGUUGACACAAAAUUCAGUGCCUUCAUAUCAUCUCUUAAAACCCUUUUUGCCGCUUCUUUGUCUUGUUUUCUGUUUGGUUAUCUGGAUUUUUUUAUUGCGGAGUGUGAGAGUUGAGGAUGCACUUUCCCCAUUGAAGUAUGCUGCCUCUCUACUGCCUUAUAGUCUUUAAACUCUUCAUCAAUACUAUAUUUCUUUUAAAUAAACUAUGUGAUUUUUUAAGAGCAAUUUAAUCUUUCAAUGGCGUUGCUUUUCUACUUUUAUGCCUCUUAAAUAUUUAAUGUUUGAUUUUGUAAUUUUUGUUGCAAUAAUCAUCACUCAUCAUCUUGACUUUUUUUUUUUUUUUUUUUUUGGUUGUUAUGGUCAAUGCAGGCUGGGGACUGCUUAAGCUGAGCAAAAAAACUGAAGGUGUGAGACAUGGGUUCGGCUUGUUCUUGCUUCCGGUCAAAAGAUCCUAUAGAAGAUAAUAACGGUGACAAUGCAAGUAAUGGUGAUGUUGGCUUCACUCAAAACUUGUACAACAAAGUAUGUUUUUCAGAUUUUGAUUAUCACUUUCCUAAGUUCGUUAAUUCUGUUUGCAACUUUUAGUUUUAUGACAUAAUCAAAAGUUCAAAGGUCAAUAGGUCUUAAGUUCAUCUGACACCUUCAUAUUUUUGUGUUUCUAUGGGUCUUAAGUUCAUCUGACACCUUCAUCUGACGCUCCGAUUAGAAGAUGCGACUAUGGGACAGAGGUUCAGGGCCGAAGGGGCAGAGGAAGAUCUAGGAAAACUUUGGAAGAGACCCUAAGAAAAGACUUAGAGUACUUGGAUCUAACGGAGGACAUGACACAGGACAGAACACAAUGGCGUUCUAAGAUUCAUAUAGCCGAUCCCACUCAGUGACUUGGAUUUUCCAAGUCUCCAACCGAGAAGUUUUCCUCACUCGGGAAAUUAAGGGAACACUAUCUCAACCUAUAUGCUCCACUCACAAAGCUUCAACAUACAAGCUUCAACAAAAGAAAAUUCAAAGAACUUAGCGAAGAAGGCUUUGGUGUAUUUAACACAAUACGUUGAAAUGAAGGAAAGCUUAUUUAUUGAUAUCCCCGAUAAGUUACAAAUAUGUACAUAUACUUGAGUCAAAAUAAACAAACAAGAUGGAGCCUUCACAAAGGUUGCUUAGGAGAAGUCUCAGCAGUCGGUAGAGCACCAGAAAGAGAAGGCACCGGAGGGGGAUCAUUCGGAGCCUCAGUAUUGGACAAAACCCUAGAAGGAGGAGGCAUCAGAGAUUGAUCAUUUGGAGCUUCAUUACGCGGUACAAGCCCCCAGAAGACGAAGGCAAUAAAUGCCUUUGGAACAAACCCACAAAUCUCUGAUGAUCAAGUAAAACCUGACCAUCAGAUUCCUUCAUCUGGUCAAGCUUCCUCUUCAUGUUUGUAGCAUAGUCAUGUGCGAGCCGGUGCAACUGUUUAUUCUCAUGCUUGAGCCCUCUAAUCUCCUGUUUGAGACUCAUCACUUCAGCCGCCAAUGAUUCAACUUGGCGGGUUCGAGCAAAUAGGCGUUGGGCCAUAUUAGACACAGAACCUGCACACUGAACAUUGAGAGCCAGAGAAUCCUUAACAGACAACUCAUCAGACCGUUUGGAAAGUAGUCUGUUAUCUUUGGGAGUGAGAAGGUUCCUGGCCACUACCGCAGCGGUCAUAUCAUUCUUCAUCACGGAAUCCCCAACGGUAAGAGGACCAGUAGGGGAGACGAAGGAUGGGCGCCAUAUGUUGUUUGGAAAAGGCGGGGCUGCCUCUUCAACAAGGUUCAAGUCAAAACGACGGUCGGAGGGGCCAGACAUUUUCAAAGGUGUUGAAGAGAGAAGAGGUCGGACAAAUCAAGAUCUUAGAAGUGCAAGAAUGGAGCUUCUACUGGGGGAUAUUCAAGUGUGUUUUGGAACUUAAUGUCAGCCCCUAUAAAAAUCUGCACUCGACGAAGCUUCAGAAAUCGAAGAGGCGCCUGCUCAUAAAUCGAAGAGGCGUUUGCUUUCUCAAAAGCUGGGCUGCUCAGAGAUUCUCAAAAGCUGGGCUGCUCAAAGACCACAAAGGCCGAUCUCAGAAAUCGAAGAGGCUUGCUUUCUCAAAAGCUGGGCUGCUCAGAGACCACGAGGGCCGAUUUCAGAAAUCGAAGAGGCACCUACUUUUCCAGCCUUGUUAGCACCUGUCACACGCACACUCAGCUUUGCGGAAAUUAUGGGCAUUCUGUCGAAGAUUUCUGGCGAAGUAGAAAGCACAUGAAUCGUACUGUUCAAUCACCCACUUCCCACACGCAACAGUAGCUCAUGGGUACCACAGAUAACUUUUCCAAAGUUCUCUGACAAAGUUGAGACACGUGAAGCUUGCAGCUCCCACUACACCGCUCUGACCAAGAAGGGUAAAAGAAUUGCAAAGAAACAACACUAACAAAGUUUAGACACAUAAAUUUUGAAGGUCUAGCUACCAUAUUAUUACCCACAAGGGUAAAGGAACAGUACCACUGCUGGAUAAUUGGAAAGUCUCAGUGUGUCAACCUCUGUGCUUCGUGGCAAGGUAGACUAGCAAACAUGCCCAACCUUUACUCACAUUCGAGAAAACACUCCUAACAAGAUUGCUUGCUCCAAAAUCGAAGAGGCACCGCCCUCCGAAUCUCGAGAGCCAGACUCCCAACAUGAUUACUUUCUCAAAAAUCGAAGAGAAGGUAAAGGAACAGUACCACUGCUGGAUAAUUGGAAAGUCCCUGUGUGUCAACCUUUGUGCUUCAUGGCAAGGUAGACUAGCAAACAUGCCCAACCUUUACUCUCAUUCGAGAAAACACUCCCAACAAGAUUGCUUGCUCCAAAAUCGAAGAGGCACCGUCCUCCGAAUCUCGAGAGCCAGACUCCCAACAUGAUUACUUUCUCAAAAAUCGAAGAGACACCGCUCUCCGAAUCUCUAGAGCCAGACCCCCAGCAGGAUUGUUUUCUCAAAAAUCGAAGAGGCAUCGUUCUCCGAAUCUCGAGAGCCAGACCCCCGACAGGUCUGUAAUCUUCACACGCAACAUCAGCUUUCCAGAUACCACAAACCACUUUUUCAAAGUGCUCUGACAGAGUUAAAACAUGUGAAGCUGGCAGCUCCCACUACCGUGCUAUAACCAAGCAGGGUAAAGGAAUAGCAUUAUUACUUGAUGUUAGGGAGACUCCUAUAUAUGUCGACUUCCAUCCCUAACGGACAGGCAGACCUGCAAAAAUGCUCAACCCUUUCUCUUAUCUGAGAGGGCACUCCCAACAAAGCCUUUCGAAAUAUUCAGCUUUUUUUCCCCCCGAUAAUACCUCUGUAAACAAGCUAUACUAGAGCAAGAAUAUCUCAUAUCAUCAGGGUUAAAAGCAAGAGUAUCCCAUAUCAUGCUUUUUCCCUGUCUUUUCCUUUGGCCUUGUUCUUACCUGCAAGACAAGGAGAAAGAGAGCAAUCAGUCAGCACUUGGAAUCAAGCUUUCAGCCAGGAACUGACUGCCUGGAACCCCUUACCUGAUUACUUACCUGGCAUUGCUCUCGAGUACUCAUCUUCAACAUCUUAUGCUUCCAGGGAAGAUACCACAUUUGCCUGAGGAACAGAUAGGGCAAGUGAGAAGGAUACAAGGAAGCAUGUGGAGACAAGCGUAACAGCACACGUGCCGAUACAUCCACUACUCUAUCAAAAGCAAAAGUAUCUCAUAUCAGCAGGGUCGAACGUACUCUAGAUUUGAUGGACUUGUUUUGACCCUCAAAUUCUUCAGUCGGCCUUAUACUCUGGAGGAAACCAGAAAACCCUCCAGCCCAGUUCAAGAAUAAGCCUGUGGAAAGUUACUUCUUCAAAAGCAAAAGUAUCCCAUAUCAUCUCUCCUCAUUUUUUCUUCUCUUUAUCCUUCAUGCUGCCUGCAAGAUAGGGAGAAUGUGAACAAUCAGCCGGAGCUCUGAUUGCUUACCUUGUCUGUCACCUCUUUCAGCAGAUCCCCCAGCUCGGCGACUUGGGGGACUCCUACUACAUGGUUUGUAUCUCGCUUGACCAAGCAUGAAACUACAAGUAAGCUUCAAGUGAAAUUGAUACAUUACCUUGUGCAUCUCCACCAGUUACAGAUACCACCACUGGAUGGAGGAAGAGUACUUCCAGAGAAGAUGCCACAUCUACCUAUGAGACAGAUAAGGCAAGUCAAGACGAUACCACACUCCGGUACUUAGAAGUUUCGUGGCUACGAGAUCAUUCUCCCACAAUUUUUCCUAAUGUCAUUUGUAUUAAAUCAUUCACUUGUACUCACUAAAGGAGAGCUUGAACCUAUGUACUUGUGUAAACCCUUCACAAUUAAUGAGAACUCCUCUAUUCCGUGGACGUAGCCAAUCUGGGUGAACCACGUACAUCUUGUGUUUGCUUUCCUAUCUCUAUCAAUUUAUAUACUUAUCCACAUUAAUGACCGGAGCAAUCUAGCGAAGAUCACAAAAAGUGACCGUUUUCGCUACCUAGGAUCUAUCUUGCAAGAGAACGGAGAAUUAGAUGGAGAUCUCAACCAUAUAAUACAAGCUGGAUGGAUGAAGUGUAAGAAUGCAUCCGGCGUGUUGUGUGACCGUCGUAGGCCACUGAAGCUCAAGGGAAAAUUUUAUAGGACGGCAAUAAGGCCAGCGAUGUUGUAUGGCACAGAAUGUUGGGCGGUGAAGCAUCAACGUACACAAAAUGGGUGUAGCGGAGAUGAGGAUGCUUCGUGAGAUGUAUGGGCACACGAGAAAGGAUAAGAUUGGGAAUUAGGAUAUCCGAGGUAAAGUAGGAGUAGCCAAAAUUGAAGAAAAUAUGAGAGAAAAUCGGUCCCGGUGGUUUGGACAUGUGCAAAGAAGGCCUACUGACGCUCCGGUUCGAAAAUGUGACUACGGGACAGAGGUUCGGGGCCGAAGGAGUAGAGGAAGACCUAGGAAAACUUUGGAAGAGACCCUAAGAAAAGACUUGAGUACUUGGAUCUAACGGAGGACAUGACACAAAUGAGCGCAAUGGCGUUUUAGGAUUCAUAUAGCCGACCCCACUUAGUGGGAAAAGGCUUUGUUGUUGUUGUUGUUGUAUGGGUCUUAUCUCAAUUGAAUCGAUUAAAUUGAAAUCUGAUGAUCAUCUAAUAUCGAUUUUUAGAUUGAGAAAUAUAGAGCAUCAAUCAGCAGUUGGAGAAGAGAUAAUUUAGUCAAUUCAUCUAAUGAGGUUGCCGACGCAUCUUCAAUACCCGAUGGGGCACCUCAGGUUGCACAAUCUGGCACUACUACUGUUGAAGUCCAAGUUGUCCAAGCCCCUCCACAAGAGGGACUAAAUGAAGGGUUAAUAUAUCAGAACCCUAAUGAGUCCUUAAAGAAGUCAUCAUCUGGAAAAGAAGCCACAGGGCUUAUGUAUAUCUAUGAUUUAUUAGAACGUGGCGAAGAAUGUCCCACAUGCCUGGAAGGUGAUCAUUAAUUUAGCGAAAUCUGUUUCCUUAUGCCAGAAUAUUAGUGGAUUAUAUGUGUUAUUCUUUUAUAAACUGACUUAAGGGUAUAAUUAUCUUAUGCUGAGGGUUCCUCUAUUUCUUGUAAUGACUGCAGAAUACACGACUGAAAAUCCAAAGAUAACAGUGGAGUGUUCUCACCAUUACCACCUUUCUUGUAUUUUUGAAUGGAUGGAGAGAAGCCCAACCUGCCCAAUUUGCAGCCGGGUAAUAUUCAAUUUCUUCCUUGCCUUUUUUAACUUGUAUAUAUGGAUAUAGCAAAUAUCACGUUUUCCGACAGGCACUUUCUGAAUUAGGGUUACUCUUAAGUUAACGUGCAAAUUGAGUUUAGACGCCAAUUUGUUUUCUAGCUGAUGAGGCAAAACUUGCAUAACAUUGGCACCGGCUGUACACAACUUUCUGCGAAUAUCACAUGACUAAAGGCAAGGCUAGUACACAGCUGGUGUAAUGGUAGAAUCUCUUCGCCAAUGACUGAUGACGUGAAGUUCAUCCUGAAAAUUAUUGGCCAAAACAUACCUGAAAUAUUUUGGAUUUUGUAACUUCUCCCAACUAAAUUUAAUCAAAUCGGCAAACUUUGUGUUGCAUCUGAUCGUUGUUAAUUAAAUUGAUUUUCUAGGUGAUGUUAUUUAGUGAAACGUCUUGAGACUCAACGCAAAUUGUUUGGCAUGCAAUGGUCAGUGAAGAGAUACCAAAACCAACAGAAAAGUAGAGCUUUUUCUGGUCACCAAAUCGAAAAGUCUGGUCACCGUUGUGUGCUAGAUUCUUGUAUUUUGAUAUGCUCCUUGAACUAAUUUCAAUUAUUCGAUUCCUUUUUUGCAAUUCUUUCUUCUUGAAAGAGUGAGGCUGCAAGUAUUCUAUAACUUUCCGGCUUAAAGUAUUUGUCCAAUUGAGCAGUGACUUAUUCUAUCAGUUACUGUGUCUCAUUUAUCUCUUUUUAAUUUUUUUCGUUUCUUGUGCAUAGUUACAUUGUAUCUUAAUCAAGUACUAAGCUGUAAACCCUAAUUGAAAAAGAAAAUUCCUCCAAAGUCACCUCAGUUACAGAUACCAAAAUCCUAAUUAAUUUAAUAAUUAAACUAACAUUAUAGAGAAAAAAUACAGUCAAAUAGAGUUUAGCUCACACAUUUACUCAAUAUUUUUCAGGUCUUUGGAAAUAUAAAUAGAAUUACAGGACAGUUUCAAAGUUCAGUUCCUCAUUGCCAUCGUCUGAUAAUCUUCCUUUCAAUAACUUACAUAUGGUACCAAAAUAUGGAUUGCUACAAAAGCAGUACGUUUAGGGUUGGUCCAAAAUUUACCAAGAAACCAGAAAUUUAAUACAG